UACGAAGGGGGCUAGCGUUGUUCGGAAUUACUGGGCGUAAAGCGCACGUAGGCGGACAUUUAAGUCAGGGGUGAAAUCCCAGAGCUCAACUCUGGAACUGCCUUUGAUGCUGGGUGUCUUGAGUAUGGAAGAGGUGAGUGGAAUUCCGAGUGUAGAGGUGAAAUUCGUAGAUAUUCGGAGGAACACCAGUGGCGAAGGCGGCUCACUGGUCCAUUACUGACGCUGAGGUGCGAAAGCGUGGGGAGCAAACAGG
rnacentral:rRNA from 1 species